GUAACAGGUCUUGCAGUAAAUUUCAGACUCGUGUGCUGCUACCGUUGUGCUAUCAAGGGCUUUUCUGCAGACCACUAGAAGAAACAAAGCUAUAGGAGGUAUCAGUAGCUGACAUCCAAAUUAAGCGGUCUUCCCAAAAUAACAUCUGACAAAUCCUUUGCUUUGUGCUGGGAACUGGUUUUCAAGCCCAGUUAGUUUCAGUGAUCAUGGGGCACAAGUCUGGUUCAGUAGAAACUGCAAGAAGUAAAUAGCAGAGU